rfam:Populus trichocarpa isolate Nisqually-1 chromosome 3, whole genome shotgun sequence.
UGAGAGGUUGCUGAGUGGUUGAUAGCACUGGUUUGUAAAACCAGUGUAGUUUGCAAAGAACAUUUGGGACUCAAAUUCCUCUCCC